rnacentral:lncRNA from 1 species
GUUCUUCUUCUUCCCCACUCUCUAUCUUUUCUUCUCUGACUCACAAAUUGGGUCUUUAACUUGUAUCCCUCUCUCUUCCUCCUCCUCCCUCCUCUCUCUCUUUUAUCCCUCUCUCUUUACAUGUAUACACAUCUCUAUCAACACCAUUAUCAUGCCCACCUUCUGAUCUACACAUUUGCACCAAUAUUUUCUACAUACGUUAUGAAAUUGGUUUCUCUUUCUUUUAAAUCUGUUUUGAUUUAUUUUAAAUGCAUGUAAUAGAGUUUUUUGGUGUUUUUGCUGGUGUUUAUCAUCAGAAAUCAUAUAUAUUUCAUCAAUUUAAAAUCUGAUUUUUGUUUGAUUUGUUGAAUUGGUGUUGGAUCUAGUUUGAAGGAGUCUAGUUUUGGAUUUGGAUUUGGAUUUGGAUUUGGAUCUGGAUCUGGGUAGUUGUCGCAUUCUGGAGCUGGGUUGUUAUGUGGGUGAUGGUUACUUCUUCUACUGCUGAUCUGGUUUGCUGGCAUGUUUGUUGAUAUUUUGUUGGUUGUGGGCAGCGCGUGGGGUCCUUGUCAUGACUGGUUGGUUAUGUUUACUCAACAAAUCCUUAAUCCAAAAUACUCAAUAAUGGCGACAAAGAUGCUUUUUUACAAACCCCUCUAUCUACAUAGAAAAUUGUUGAUUUGAGUUUAAAAAAUGGUGAUUUGUUUAAAUUCUUUACUGUUAUAUUUUUUUUCCCAUUAAAGAUGGAUAUUGUUUUAGUAGUUGAG